GCGAGUUUUUUUGUCGAAGUUAUUCGAUGCGAUUGAAUUUGUUGCUUAUUAUUUUGUUUAAAAUGAGUUUUAUAAAUGUUGAUUGUUAUUGCGUUGAAACUAUUUUCUGGUACGAAGAUGGUUUUUAUGUUACUUAUGAUUAUCAAUAUUUCAUACCACAAGAAGAAUAUGGACUAUAUUCACCAUUUAUUCCAUAUCAGCAAGUCUCUAAUUCGCUUGCUUAUGGAUAUUCAAGUCAAGACGGUUUAUACAAACCGCCAUUACAAGGAUUUCAAACAUCAAAUUAUUGGUCACAGGAGGAAGUGGUUUAAAAUGAACCUUUUCAAGAAGUGCCGCAAUAUGAUGUGGCCACAAAUACAUCAGAAUUUUGGCCACUGGCAGAUAUGGACGAAAAUGAACUUCGUCCGUUUCAAAUAAGAACAAAUGAAUCGGAGUAUCCUGUAGCCGAAACGUCGCUACAUUCGAUGCAACCAAAUAUGUUGCAAAGUAAUUCGGAGUCGGAAUGUGAGGCGCAAAAAAAAGUGUCCGAACAUGAAGUUUUUGUUCCGGAUACAAUAACUAAUAAAAAACCGGACAUGCAUUCCUCAUUAGGAACUUCUGAAGAUUUAUCAAUUUCUACGCAUCCACAUAAUAAUGAACUGGAAUCAGAACCCGAAAUUUCGUGUACAAAUGAUUCUGAUGCGAAUAAUUUUGCAUCUUUCAAUACCUCAGAAAACGUGGAGCAAGUGAAACAAACUGAAACAACAGUGAACAUAACAGGAGACACC